rnacentral:tRNA from 1 species
GGCGGGGUAGCUCAGCCGGUUAGAGCAAUGGAAUCAUAAUCCAUGUGUCGGGGGUUCGAAUCCCUCCCCCGCUA